CGUAACGCGUAAACAACCUGCCCUCUACUGGGGGAUAGCCCGGCGAAAGCUGGGGUAAACCCGCAUAGUCUCGCUUUCUGGCAUCAGGAUGGUGAGUAAAGCAGCAAUGUGGUAGAGGAGGGGUUUGCGUCUGAUUAGCUAGUUGGAGGGGUAGUGGCCCACCAAGGCGAUGAUCAGUAGGGGCUCUGAGAGGAGGGUCCCCCACAUGGGCACUGAGACACGGGCCCA
rnacentral:rRNA from 1 species